rnacentral:rRNA from 1 species
UACGUAGGGUGCAAGCGUUAAUCGGAAUUACUGGGCGUAAAGCGUGCGCAGGCGGUUCGCUAAGACCGAUGUGAAAUCCCCGGGCUUAACCUGGGAACUGCAUUGGUGACUGGCGGGCUAGAGUAUGGCAGAGGGGGGGUAGAAUUCCACGUGUAGCGGUGAAAUGCGUAGAUAUGUGGAGGAAUACCGAUGGCGAAGGCAGCCUCCUGGGCCAACACUGACGCUCAUGCACGAAAGCGUGGGGAGCAAACAGG